rnacentral:rRNA from 1 species
UACGAAGGGGGCUAGCGUUGUUCGGAAUCACUGGGCGUAAAGGGCGCGUAGGCGGCCUGGCAAGUCGGGGGUGAAAGCCUGUGGCUCAACCACAGAAUGGCCUUCGAUACUGCCGGGCUUGAGACCGGAAGAGGUCAGUGGAACUGCGAGUGUAGAGGUGAAAUUCGUAGAUAUUCGCAAGAACACCAGUGGCGAAGGCGGCUCACUGGCUCGGUACUGACGCUGAGGUGCGAAAGCGUGGGGAGCAAACAGG